rnacentral:rRNA from 1 species
GAUGAACGCUAGCGACAGGCCUAACACAUGCAAGUCGAGGGGCAGCACAAAGUAGCAAUACUUGGUGGCGACCGGCGCACGGGUGAGUAACACGUAUGCAACCUACCUGUAAGCGGGGAAUAACCCGGAGAAAUUCGGACUAACACCGCAUAAUACUGAAUUACUGCGUGGUUUUUCAGUUAAAUAUUUAUAGCUUACAGAUGGGCAUGCGUAUGAUUAGAUAGUUGGUAGGGUAACGGCCUACCAAGUCAACGAUCAUUAGGGGUUCUGAGAGGAAGGUCCCCCACACUGGUACUGAGACACGGACCAGACUCCUACGGGAGGCAGCAGUGAGGAAUAUUGGUCAAUGGGCGAGAGCCUGAACCAGCCAAGUCGCGUGAAGGAAGAAGGUUCUAUGGAUUGUAAACUUCUUUUGUAAGGGAAUAAAAAAGAGUACGUGUACUCUAUUGUAUGUACUUUACGAAUAAGGAUCGGCUAACUCCGUG